rnacentral:piRNA from 1 species
UGACCGACACUGACAUACGGUGGCU